rnacentral:rRNA from 1 species
CAGCAGCCGCGGUAAUACAGAGGGCGCGAGCGUUGUCCGGAAUCACUGGGCGUAAAGGGCGCGUAGGUGGCUUUUUAAGCGUGCGGUGAAAACUCGAGGCUCAACCUCGAGACGUCGGCGGAAACCAUCUGGCUAGAGUCCGGAAGAGGAGAGUGGAAUUCCUGGUGUAGCGGUGAAAUGCGCAGAUAUCAGGAAGAACACCCGUGGCGAAGGCGGCUCUCUGGGACGGUACUGACGCUGAGACGCGAAAGCGUGGGGAGCGAACAGGAUUAGAUACCCUGGUAGUCCACGCCGUAAACGAUGGGUGCUAGGUGUGGGCGGUGUCGACUCCGUCCGUGCCGAAGCUAACGCAUUAAGCACCCCGCCUGGGGAGUACGACCGCAAGGCUAAAACUCAAAGGAAUUGACGG